GACGAACGCUGGCGGCGUGCUUAACACAUGCAAGUCGAACGGAAAGGCCCUGCUUUUGUGGGGUGCUCGAGUGGCGAACGGGUGAGUAACACGUGAGUAACCUGCCCUUGACUUUGGGAUAACUUCAGGAAACUGGGGCUAAUACCGGAUAGGAGCUCCUGCUGCAUGGUGGGGGUUGGAAAGUUUCGGCGGUUGGGGAUGGACUCGCGGCUUAUCGGCUUGUUGGUGGGGUAGUGGCUUACCAAGGCUUUGACGGGUAGCCGGCCUGAGAGGGUGACCGGCCACAUUGGGACUAAGAUACGGACCAGACUCCUACGGGAGGCAGCAGUGGGGAAUAUUGCACAAUGGGCGGAAGCCUGAUGCAGCAACGCCGCGUGCGGAAUGACGGCCUUCGGGUUGUAAACCGCUUUCGCCUGUGACGAAGCGUGAGUGACGGUAAUGGGUAAAGAAGCACCGGCUAACUACGUG
rnacentral:rRNA from 1 species